AAUCAAGAGCGUCAGCUAUAAGCCCUGGCUUGCUGGCCGGCAACCCUCUCAACGGUAGUGGGGUGCUCCAGGUGAGGAUUCGGUCCCACGCAAGAACGCGUGGCACAAGUACCGCAC
rnacentral:ncRNA from 2 species